CAGUCGCCGCGGUAAUACGUAGGUGGCAAGCGUUGUCCGGAAUUAUUGGGCGUAAAGGGCUCGCAGGCGGUUUCUUAAGUCUGAUGUGAAAGCCCCCGGCUCAACCGGGGAGGGUCAUUGGAAACUGGGAAACUUGAAUGCAGAAGAGGAGAGUGGAGUUCCACGUGUAGCGGUGAAAUGCGUAGAGAUGUGGAGGAACACCAGUGGCGAAGGCGACUCUCUGGUCUGUAACUGACGCUGAGGAGCGAAAGCGUGGGGAGCGAACAGGAUUAGAUACCCGUGUAGUCCCUGUCUCUUAUAC
rnacentral:rRNA from 1 species